rnacentral:rRNA from 1 species
ACUCAAAGGAAUUGACGGGGGCUCACACAAGCGGUGGAGCAUGUUGCUUAAUUCGAGGCAACGCGAAGAACCUUACCUGGGCUUGACAUGUACGGAUUAACCCCUUGAAAGAGGGGCCACGCCCGCAAGGGUGGAACGUACACAGGUGCUGCAUGGCUGUCGUCAGCUCGUGCUGUGAAGUGUCGGGUUAAGUCCCUUAACGAGCGCAACCCCUGUCGUUAGUUGCUCGGCGCAAGCCAGUACUCUAGCGAGACUGCCGGUGUCAAACCGGAGGAAGGUGGGGAUGACGUCAAGUCCUCAUGGCCCUUACGUCCAGGGUUGCAAACGUGCUACAAUGGCGCGUACAGAGCGAUGCGAGGCCGCAAGGCGGAGCAAAUCGCAAAAAACGCGCCCCAGUUCGGAUUGCAGGCUGCAACUCGCCUGCAUGAAGUCGGAAUCGCUAGUAAUCGGAGAUCAGCUACGCUCCGGUGAAUAUGUUCCUGAGCCUUGUACACACCGCCCGU